AUUUUUAGCCUACAAAAAAUUUGAAAUGUUUGUAGGCCAACGAUUAGGGGGAAAAAAUUUCAAUUUUAUUUGUAUUUUUAGUCCUUCCAAAACUCACAUCAAAAUUCUCUUAUCCUUUAUUCGUCCAAAAUCUUGCCUCAAAUAUUUCUCUAAAAAUCGACUGCCUCCAAAAAAUUUCACUGAAAGUUUCUUCCCUCUUUGCCGCUUCAAUCCGUGGCUACCAAACCUAAUUCCAAUUUAUUUAGCCACAAACUUUUUUGUAGAUCUGGUGGUUGCAAUUCCAAUUUCUUCAAUUGCAUAAUAUCGAUUUGGGUUAACAAAUUCCGGCUGAAUCUACUACAGGUUUUGAGUUCUUCUUCAAGACGUAUUCAAGGUAUGACCAUCAAUCCUAUAUAUUUUUUUGGUUUAAAUCGAUGAAUUAGAAGUCUUGGGUGAACGGAUUUGAUAUAGUUUUAUCUUCGGGUAGAUGCUGGGGAUUUGAAGUCGUGUUUUUCUUCAAAUUUGAUUUGAUUUAGUUUUAUAUUUGUAUUUAGUUUAACAGCAACGUUUGAAACAUUAGGUGAACGGAAUGGAUUCAUUUUUGGUUGCUGGUAUAUACUAUUUAAAAAUUAAUUUUUGUUUAUCUACCUGAAAAGAAUCAAUCUUGGUGUAAUAUUUGUGAUUUACAUUUUGUUGUCUUUCAAUACACUGCUUUUUCUAUGAUAGUUCUGUAUGUGAAAUUGGGCCUUUAACUUUUCUAUUUAUUAUAAGCAAGAUUGGAAUGCUGGAAUUCGUUCAGGAUUCUGGUACGUCGAAUCUCUUGUUAAAACAAUCUUUAUAAUGAAGGACCAGAAAAAAAGUGAAAUAAUAAUAAGAGUUCUUGAGACGAAAAUUCUAACAAACCCCUCUUUUCUUAUGCACCAGAAUACUGGUUCCAACUACCUAUAUCCUUUUUGCCUCAGCUCUUCCAGUAAUUUCAUUUGGAGAGCAAAUAAGCAAAGAUAUUGGUACACUUUUUAACUUAAGUUUGGGUAGAAAAACCCUGAAGCCUGGCUUGUUAUCAGCUGUCAAAGUGAUCAUAACCACACAAAACAUUAUUUCUGUUUAUAAAGGAUUACAAGUUUUGUACUGAUUUAUUGCUUAGGAUUGCAGAUGGGAGCCUAAGAACAGUAGAACUUUGGUAUCAACUGCAAUUUGUGGUAAUGUAUAGUACACUUUAUAUUUGGUGGAUAAGCCUCCUUAUUGUAUAUACAUGAUGGCACUUAUACAUGUGCAUUUGCAGUCUAACUUAAAUGUGUUCUUACAUACUUCUAAUUUAUUUUAUUUGCAUUUUUUAGCAUUAAGUUUUGUUGCAUCAGCAUCUUAUUUUAUGAGGACAUGACAUUUGUUUGUUUGAACUUUGAAUUUCAGUUGUAUUUUUCCUUUCGGCAAUGUUAUAUUUUGGUAGUCGCUUUUUCGCCUUUUGAUAUUUCAACUUAUGUAAAUAUCCCGAGUGUAUGGCGCAAUCAUAUAGUGAUUGACUAUGAACUUAAAAAAAUGGCAUAUUUCUACAGAAUGAUUCAUGAUAUGCGCAUAAAAGAUGGAAAAGCAACAUAUGUCUUCCUAUUGUUAUUGUUAUCAUUGAUUUUGCUUUGAAACUUCUGCAUUUAGUUUGGGUGUGUUAGAAUAGUUGAAUUGGAUUUGUUUCUAAAAUAAGCUAUUCAUAUAGAGUGGGAUAUUUCCUAAUUUUUCUAUCUAUUUUUAGGAUGAUAGGAUGGUUUACUGUUAAGCUUUCUAGAAUUCAAUUCUUACAUUGUAUUUAUCUUUGUAAUUUCUACUUGGAACAGAAUUAGGUUUCAGUCUUCCCAAACUUCACUUGGUAUCAAAGCCAUACUAGUUCUGUUUAUAAGGGAUUACAAGUUUUUUUCUACCAUUUAUAGCGUUUGCAACAUUUGAGUAAUCAUCUUGGAAUUUUUACCAACAGGAGGGUACAGUACCCUUGAACCUAUAUGUUCAGGAUGAAUUUCAUCGUUCUGCACAAGCGAGGGUUGGAGGUGUCAAAAGCAUUACAAAUUAUGCUCCGGUAAAAUAUAUGCUGGAAGAUCAUAAUAACCUUGUAGUUUCCUCUUUCACUUGUUUGACAUUUAUUGCUUUGUAGAAGAUUUUAUUGUUUUAAUACGUUAACAACUUUUGUAGGUUUUGAAAUCAUUAAACAGAGCAUGGAACAGAGGCUUCUCUGAUGUCUUAUACCUUGAUUCUAUGAAUAAGAGAUAUAUUGAAGAGGCCUCUUCUUGUUCAGUCUUCAUUUCGAAAGUAUUUAGCUAAUCCACUUGUAUGGAGAAAUUUUCUUUCUACGCCAACAACCAAUGACUUUAUUCUUAAAGCUCAGAAUUUUUCCCAAAUGUGCCUGGUUGGCGAAUGUCCUAUUCCAUUUGAAGAAUUACUUGAUGCUAACGAAGUUUUCUGUAUAGGUUAGUUUACUCAUAACUUUAUUCUUAAAUAGGUUUGAAGCACAUCUCUCAAUAGGUAGCAUCUUUUCUAGGUGUGGGUGUUGUCUGGAGGACUGCAAAUGCCGAAUCAGGAUCAACGAUUGUCAUCUUCGAGUUAGGAGCAAUAGGAUUAGUUUUAUGAUCUUCUACCUGAUAGAAUAGGAGGAUUUGCUGCCUAUCUAAUUCAUGAGGAUAAAGAGUUCUAUUUUUUAGGUACAUAAUUAUAGAUAUAUAGCAUGCUUGCCAUGCUUUUAUUAAAUUUAGAUGUAAUGAUACUUAGUAAAUGGUUUUUAUUUGUUGUUUAAUAAAAUAUUUUUGGAUUCGAUGUUAUGUUGAUUGACACUAUCUUUUUG
rnacentral:lncRNA from 1 species